rnacentral:tRNA from 1 species
GGGAUGUUAACUUAAGUAUAAAGUGUCAAAUUUUUAAUUUGAAAAUGUGUUUACACAUCUCA